CUUGAUCGAACCGAGCAGCAGCGGACGGUCUGCCGGCCGGUCCUGCCCGUACGUCGCCAGCAGCGCCUGCGCCUC
rnacentral:antisense_RNA from 1 species